CACGUCCUUCUCUUUCUACAACUUGGCUAUGAAGCGGCAGCACAAGAAGGCACAGGUCACCUUGGUUGGGGAGCUUGGUUUUCUAUCUGGUUCUUUGCCACUCUCACACUCUGCGGGGAAGGAGUCCCUGGAAGAGGGGAGGUGAGUGGAGGAGGCGAAGUUCCUGGAGCUGAUGGGAGAUGCUGGGAUCCGGGGCCCAGUGCUCUGGACAAAUAUCCAGGCCUGGCAGAAAGAAGGACACAUCUUCCUCUGAAGCAGAAAGGACUGAGGUGACACAGGUGUCAAUGUCUGCAGGGUUUCGCCGGAGAACAGGCGGCGGCGAAAGCACCGGGCCGCUACGCGAACUACAACUCCCAUAAGGCCCUGCGGUCCCGCGGCCGGCCUCUUUCGUCGCGAGAAGAAGCCGCUGGGGGCGUCUGCGCGGACGAACGGAAGUGUAGGUGACGGUCUGAGACAUCGCCGCCAAGCUGGGAACCGGGGAGAUGGCCGAGACUGACCCCAAGACCGUGCAGGACCUCACCUCGGUGGUGCAGACACUCCUGCAACAGAUGCAAGAUAAAUUUCAGACAAUGUCUGACCAGAUCAUUGGAAGAAUUGAUGACAUGAGUAGUCGCAUCGAUGACCUGGAGAAGAACAUCGCAGACCUCAUGACCCAGGCUGGGGUGGAAGAACUGGAGGGUGAAAACAAGAUCCUUGCCACACAGAAGAGUUGAAGGUUGUGAAUUCACACUGAAAUCCGGAACACCAUUUUUAUAAGCCAAGACUGAACGGCUUUUUGCAACUAACAACUCUGUGUAGACAGGUUUUGUAUGACAAGGUGUGCGUUCUUCUUGUCACAUCUUAUAUAGUUAGUUUAUAGAGUGGUCCCCAUGCCCCCCAGUUUCUUCAACAUGGUGACUUCUCAUCCUGGACCUUGGUCAGUUGUGCUAUUAAAUAUUAAACACUAAAACUUUGGCGGUUCCUGCAUAAAAUUGUCAAAUUUUUUAGUGUAUUUUUGUGAAGUCAUUUUUUUUUCUAUCAUUCCUUUUGUAGUGGUUGCUGUUUGAUAAAAGUUUUGCUGUGUAAUUUUUUUAUUAGCCAUGUAGUGGAUCCUUCUAUUAUAAUUAGAUUUGGUGAAGUAAGGCCUUUACGGAAUUUAGGGUUCGUUAAUUCUCAGCACAGAGUAACUGCUGAGCUGACACCAAAUAAUGUGUUGUGAUACUUUUCAAAUGGUUGAAAACGUUUGGAAAUUGUUUAUUCAGAAAUAUCUGGCGCUACUCUGUUGCCAAAACUCAGAAUGAACUGCAAUUUUAUGUCUUAAGUCCCCGAGGUCAGAUGCUAUAGUCAUGAAAAGUAACCACUGGCACCUUCGUGUGUUAGGAUUUUUAAAUUUGGAGAGUGACAGCCUUGCCUGGUGGAACGAGGCAUCGUUAGUUAGAGUAUCCUGCUGGGUCCCUACAGUGUUCGUCCACAGUAGUCGCCAUAGAAAAUCUGGCAGGAUUUUAAAACUCCAUUACUCCAUCUUGUCUUUGAGCUCCUGACUGGGCAAAGAUACGGAAAAGGAAGACAGACCAGAUUAAGUCCGUGCCACUUGCUUAGCUGGAAAAUGAUACGUGACUUGUUGUAGGCUCAAGUUUGAAAGAAACACUAUUUCUUUAAAGUCUUUCUUACCUAAAUUCUUGCGGAGUGAUGGUUUUACUAUUGAUUGUAGAAGAUAGGGACAGUAACUGGUGCCGUUCAAAAGUGCAGUGUCAGGAGAGCUCAGCCUAGAGGCCAAUAUUGACUGUGGAGGAGCCCCGUGUGAUUGUCACAGCAAAGUGAGUUUGUAUACAAAAAACGGGAAAAUUGAGAAAGGGUGUAGCGCUUCCUAGAGGGAACCCCUUAAUGAACACAGCGUCAUUUUUUUUAAGGUUCCUAUAUCACCAGUCUUGAUUGAUUGUAUUGCAAAUAUGUAAUAAUAUUAAGAAAUAAUUUAUCCUAUUUAUAAAUUAUUUGAGACACAGGGGAGUAAGUUUCCUCUGGGACAAGAAGAAUUAACCGCUGUUAUUACCCAGCUGCAGAAACUCCUCUGCUCGGGCCGUGGGUUGUGCUGCAAGGUUAGCUCUGCGAGCCCGAGCUGGUGCUGGACUCGAACCAGCUGCGUGAGGCCUGGAUGCAGGAUGCUCGCGAGCUCAGUAAAUGGCAAGUGGGAAGAUAGCGUUGCUGUCAGGAUAGUCGGACUUGGAGAGGAGCCGGCUUCCUUAAGUAACAGAAAGAUUCCAGAGGCAGGCUGCCCUGACCAAAAAUAUCUGCCAUGAAUAAAGGUGCCUGAAAUCCUGCUGCUGAAGCUUCCUUUGUGUCAAAAAUGAUUUGGUGUUCCAGGUUUUCCAAUUAAAGUGCAUGUACCUGUUUAGUUUAUCAGCUGAAACCUCUGGAAGGAUUAGGGACAAAUAGCCAGAGGCAAAUGGGAAGGGGAGGCGUGUGUGGAGGCCUGUUUGGAGAAGAGGGGCCGGUGACAGGCGCCGGUGACUGCGGGGUUUGCCCUGACCCAGAGCGAAGGAGAGCUGCUGUCUUACGUGUCCGUGUCCGGGAGCAAACCGCCAAGAAUGUUCCCCAGAACACUUGUCCCUGCAGAAGCUCGAGAAAGGAGGGUUGGUGGUCACUUGGGUUUAGAAAAGUUGCUGAGCACUAGACUGACUUCAUGGAAAUUCACGAUGCAAAUUAGCAUAUUAAAGGGCCAGGUCCCGGAGUGGGGAAAUGUGAUUUAACUUUCUCACCUGCCAGUUUCCUAGUUAUUUGACCAAGAAUCUUUUUUUAUACUUAGGACCUAAUUAACAUUUCAUUGAACUAGUGUGGUGUAAAAUACCCACGGGGAGAUACCGGUAAAGGAAUCCAAUAAACAGCUUUGCGUUCAAUUUAUUAAGGCCCUUGUUGCCACGGACCCACUUGACCCCUCCUUCAAACCUGCAGGCAGGGCCUCGUGUGAAACGGGCUUUAGGACCCUGGUGAGGCCCUCGGUUUGUGGGUGAGCAGCGUGGACGCUCGCUGGGUUCCGUGGGGGCCUCCCACUGCCACAGCCUCGGGCCAGUCUCAGCCUUUUGGGCACCACCUGGGCCCACCAAAGAGAAGCUACUGCCCCCCAUGCUGCCCUGGGUCGCACUCGCCCUCCUUGUCCUGGAGCCUCUGCUCCCUGAGACCCGCUCCUCGAAGACCUGCCCACGGCCUGUGUUUGCACGGGGCCGCCUUGCCUCUCUCCACUUCCAGGCCUCAUCUUUUUGAGCAGGAAAACCUGUCUGCCUCUUUUAGUCUCCAGCUAUUUUUCAUUCAUCUAAAGACCAAUAAAGAUCCUUCUGAGGCCUGUCAAUACAACCUGUGUGGAGGCGCUUGUGCCAAGCGCAGCCCCAAGCCCAGAGGCCCGGCAGCUUCCUCGUUCGGCCUCUAGUCCAUUCUCCUUUCCUUUGGGCCGCAGGACUUGAAAGGAUUUUAAUCUUAUUUGCUUAGCAAUUUUGUUUUUCUGUGGUUUCAUUUCUAGUCAAGGACUACCACGGUUGACCUUAUCAGAACCAGCACACGGUAUUUCCGGUACCUAAAGGUGAAGGUGCCUUUGUGAGUUGUUGGACUGCUGAGAGCACUUGGAGUACUGUUGCCAUGGGAACAGAGUCCUCCAAACAAUCAACUUGAAAUCAACAGUUUGGACAGUCUGUACGUUGAAGGUUUCCUAUAGAGAUAAUUAUGUUCCUCUUUUUUUGUAUUCGGUAGUUUAUGUGUUUUUAAUUAGUUUAAAAUAGAGGCAUUUGCACAAUGUGUUGUCUGAGCUAACCCUGAAGAUUAACUGGCCGCAGUUAACAGUCAUGGCCAGCACCUGUGAAAGCGUUUAUUGGAAACCACUGUGCUGGGCUAAGCGUUUUGUGUAUAUUGACUUAUCCUCACGACAGCCCUGAGUUAGGUUUUUAUCUGAUCCAUCCCAGUGUGAACAGAAGGAACCCAAGGGUGGGCGAUAGUCACCGGAGGUCACACAGCUGGAAGCCAAGCCUGGGCGUCUGCCCCCAGUUGUCCCACUGCAGCGCUCACACUCCGUCCCGCCUUUCUGAGAGCUCAGAUUUCUGAAUCCUCCUGUCCAGGCCCUCUGGGAAUCAUCAACCCUCGACCUCGGUGGAUCUAGAAAUUUAGUUUCAAAAGGCUGAUUUUGCGUUUUUAAUUAAACAUGACCUAAAUUAAAUAAACAUUGUUGAUGUGGAUUUUAUUCAGAAUUAAAAUCUUUCGGGCAGGGCUGGUAGAAAAUGUGCUCCUGGACUAGUCUUUCUCUUUUUUCCCUGGGUAAGUUAUUUGAGAACGACUGUGGAAACAAAUCCAGUUCAGUUUCUCAGAUGUUUGCCCCGACAGAACCACAGGCAAUUCCAGCCACUCGUUUUCCUGUUCGCUUCCCUGCUCACACCCCCAUCGUGUCUCUCACAAAAAUGAUCCCUUGAGACUCACCUUGGGGGACUCCAGCCCCUCCGGCAGUGACCUAUUUGCCUACCUUCUUGUCAGCUCACUUUUUUUUUUCAAAAAAAAAAAAGGAUGAGUGCAGAAGUCUUACAAAGGUGCCCAUGCAGCCGUCACCCGAAUCACAGUCUCCUGUUACUGAUAAGUCUGCUUUCAGUCGCAGCCUGUUUAAAAUUCCUUUCAAUGAAUGAAGGUGGUGGUGAGGGGACGUGGGUCACGGCCCCAAACAAACCAGAGGGCUUGUGACUGGAUGUGUCGCCCCCACAGACCCCUUUGGAAAUAGGAGAGGAGUUUGCUUCUCUAAGUCAGGUUGACUCUGUCAGGCACGAAUCCACCCUGAUGCUUUGCCCUCACACGUCGAGGCUUUCACCGAGAGCUGCCUGGAGGUUCCUCAGACACCCGCCCAGGAUUCGAUUCAUAGCUGAUGGAUUCCGACCAUCUGCUUCCGUGGGCCCCUAGCCCCCGCUGGUGAGAUGUAAUAUUCUGUUGCUCUCUCCUUGAGCAAGGCCACAGCAUGUUUAUGUACCACUUACGCAAACUCCGUGCGCGUCACAAAGAUGCUACCCUGCUCCGUGGUGAUGAUCUUGGCUGUGUAUUUAUAAUCUCCUACUUUGUGGACAUAUGUUGACCAAUCAUUCAUAUCGGUCAGUGGCAAAAUGUCCGCCUUCCAAAGAGGGACAAGUACUGUUUCCUCGUAAUUAAAAACAGCCUGAAUCCAGGAUAGAGCAGUUCAGAAGCAUUUAGCUGCCAGGGAUGGAAAGCACAGCCCCAUCUUCAGCAAGAGGGGGCCGUGCGGUUUCCCACAGCAGGGAGUCCAAAGGGAGGCGGCUGGGAGUGUGAACUCCACACCCGCACAACCAUCAAGGAUCCAGCCGUGUUCAUCUUGGUGUGUCCCACAGAAAGGACAGCUUUCUCCUUUCCUUUCAUCUGUUUUAAGCAUGAGGAAAACGUUUCCUGAAGGUGUUCCUCUUCCGCUCCCUGUGCCUAAACGCCCCAGCCCCGAACAAUUCCCAGCAAGGCCACAGGCCCCUCGAGAUAGGCUGAGCCCUGUGAGCCUCAUCUUCUGGACGUCACAACCUGUGGGGUGGGGGUGCUAAUGGCAUCUGGUGGGUCGAGACCAGGGAUGCUGCUCAACAUCCUACAAUGCACAGGACACCCCCCCCCCCAACAAAGAAUUACCUGGCCCCGAAUACCAAUAGCGCGGAGGAGGUGGAGAAACCCCAGCUUAACCCAUUCGUGGUUCAACCCACGCCUAGGAGCCUAAUGUCUGGGGAACGUCUGAAAGCCCUCGUGAUCAGGCAGCACCCUGAGCCACUGCAUCAAAAUCCCUGCAGGGGGACCCGGACGGCGGGGUUUGUUUCACACCCGCUCGUGCAGUCCAGUGGGAAGUGCGUUUGAGAAGGUCUGUCUACUGCUGCUCAUCAGAUGACGGAAUCCGCCAAGGAAAUUAGGAUUCUGCCAACCUUCCGUCAGCCCAGCUGAGGCCCCCGACUUGGGCAGUCGAGACCCGCACACGAUAUCUGGCUUUCAGUUCAACUCCUGUGUCAUUUUUGCUUCAACGACUGGAUGGUGCCACCACUGUUAGAAUGAAAACGUUUCUGAUGCCCUGACAGGUGACGUCUUGUUAACCAGAUUCAACUUCAGAUGUCCGUGACGUUUCUGAUUGCCUGGGCCCGGCGAGGUGCUAUCACCUGCAUCGUCUCAUUAACUUCCCCACACACUCGAAGGUUGUUGACAUUAUCAGAAAGUUCUCCAGCUGGAAUUCUUCGCCCUCUAAGCAGCCUUCAAAAACUCCAUUCUUAAGCCACUGCUAUGUUUUAUUACCUCUUACCUUUUACAGGCCUGUCGAAGUUGCCAUCAAAACUCAGUGAGCGUUUCCAGAAAGAAACUUUAAAUAUUAAAUACGUUAAAACUAAAGGCCUGUUAUGCAGAAGAAAACCCAGUUAAUUUUGGUGGGCUAUGGAUUAUCAUCAGAAGAGUCAUUUCUGGAAAUUUAAAUAAUAUGGUUGUUUCUUUUAAUGAUGCAUUCUCCUGGAAAUAUAAGACCACUUGACUGAUUCUGCUCCAAAAUCCUAUUGCAGCCAAGGACGGGCCCAAAUUCUUCAUGGAGCAGAAGUCUGGAACUGGCUGGGUACACAGAGUGCAAAGCUGGAGAGGCUGCAAACCACGUCUUAAAAAGAAAUCAGCCUUUCCCCUGGAUAGGCAGACAGGCUAAUGUGAGCCAGGCUCAGAUGUUCCUCAGUUACAACCUGUGUUCAUCGGGCCCAUAAUUAAGAAUCUUAAAGGGAAAGAAACUUUUGAAAACAGCUGUCAAAAUCACGCUGUCUUGCUACCAGAAUUUUAAAAAGGUUUGUCGUUACCGCAGGUCACUGCUGGGGUCUGAGCCCUCGUCACUGUGGCCAGACCCUCUAUCAGAUCCUUCGUCUGAGAGGUUGAUUAGAUGAAACAGACACUUUGCCAGCAUCAUUAAAGGAAAUAUGGUACGAGUCUUUUAGUGGGUCAAGCUCAUUUCCUCAAACCCGAACAAGGUUUAACGGUGAUCUGCGACCCAACUUCGCCUUCCCCGUAAUGAAAAGCAGACCCUGCAGGACCCCUCUGGCGCAGGUGGGCCGGGAUUUCUGGAGUCACUUACUGAGAACGUUUUCUCCUCACCAUGAGCUCUGCCAGAAAUGUCUUGGGUUCGUCCAAGCUAAUCCAUAUUCGAGAACCAUGAUGGACAAGAUUCGUUAGCAAUGCCUUAACAAGUCACUAUCCGGCCAAUUCAGAACUUGAGGAAUCUCUUUGGUAUGAAGUAAUAUAAUAGACUGGGUGAGGAUUCUUUGAAACUAAAUUGGUGUGGUAAUUUGUCUGCUUUCUGCUGGAUGUAACGCCGUCGAGAUGUUAAGCGUUUUCUUCGUUGGGAACUGACAACUGUUCUCUGGGAUUUCAUACCUUCUUUCGAUGACCCUGUAUUUGGUCUUUGUUGGGAAAGGUUUGCAAUGGCAUUCGGCCAGAAUCACUAAAGCUCUAACGAUAUUCAUUCUACUCAGAUUUGUUUUCCAUAUUUUGGUCUGAGAAUGGGUAAUUUUUCUGCCUUGGAUUUAAAACAAAACUUAUAUCAAGGAAAAUUUUUUUUUGGCUAGGAGAUAAUGGCUUAAUGGCAAUGGUUCUUAAAAUGUGGCCCCACUCCCACCCCUCUGGGCCAAUAGCACCAGCAGCACCUGGGAACUUGUUAGAAACGCAGGUUCCCAGCCCCUCCCAGCUCCACCCAACCAGAGGUGCUUGGGUGGGUGGGGCAGCCUGGGUUUUACCACCAGGGGGUUCUGCCCUCGCUCACCUGUGAGAACCAGGGCCUUGGGUGUCAACUCUGGUUGUCCAAUAGCUUUGUGGGUCAGAUGACUCUAAACAUCAGAAGCCCCCGGGACAUUGAUUGACAUGCAGAUUUCCAGAUCCUCCUUCAUGGAUCCUGAUCCAGUAAAUAUGAGGCAGGGGCUGUGGAUCCGUGUUUUCAAUUAAUUCCCCAGUUGAUUAUUUUUGUCUGUUAUUUCCUACCCAGGAAAACACUGCACAGAGAAAUGAGGCAGCACAGGAGAUGUUGUCAUGCUGAGUCACUCAGGCCUGGGCCAGUCCUAAGGUAGCUUAAAAGCAAUUGGUUCCUAGUUACCCAGAACAUCCUAGCACGGGGCAGAGCGUGACCUUUGCGGCCCCGUGAAAUGGUGGUUCACCCUCCAGCCCAAGGAGCCCAGCCUGAAGAGCCCUCACUGCGCGAAACUUGAAUCACUUCAAAUCAAUUUGCUUCUUAUUAAAAUGUACUUCAAUAAAACACCAUUUCAACUCUUAAGCCGCAAAAGGAUAUCGAAUCAUUUAAAGCUUUCUCAGUGUUUCAGUUGAUUUAAAAGGCGUUAGAGAGCACGGUAAAUAUUUUACCAGAAAGAUAAGUUAUCCAAUAAGGAGAUUAUUUAUUAAAAACUAGUCAUUUAUUAGUUCAUUUAUCUUUAUUUUCAGGAAAGUGUGUUCUUUUAAUCUGGGCACAGUUUUUUUCUAUUCCCACAGCAGGGUUAAGCUGUGAGGUGAUAAUUCUGUAACACAUAAAUGUAUCGAAAUAUAAUUUAACUUGUGUCAGUAACAAGAAAGAUAUCUGUAAAACUACAUUUUAUUCUUUUUUUUUUUUUUGGAGGAAGAUUAGCCCUGAGCUAACAUCUACUGCCAAUCCUCCUCUUUUUGCUGAGGAAGACUGGCCCUGAGCUAACAUCCGUGCCCAUCUUCCUCUACUUUCUAUGUGGGACGCCUGCCACAGCAUGGCUUGCCAAGUGGUGCCAUGUCCACACCCGGGAUCCAAACCUGCGAACCCCAGGCUGCCGAAGUGGAAUGUGCACACUUAACCUCUGUGCCACAGGGCCAACCCCUAAAAUUACAUUUUAAAAGAACUUUUGGAGGGUUUUAAACAUAGUUUCCUGUACUUAAAAAGAAAUUGUGUUUGCUGUUUUGAAAAAGAACAAGUUAGUCAUUUAUUUUUUAAUUCAUCCUUCCUGAAGGAAAUAAUUAAGGCAGGAGCUUUUUUUUCCUCUGAUUGGUAGAAAGAAAAGCAUUUAAGCCCAAAAUCGAGGCACUGAGUUCAAGUACUUAUGAUCAAACAUUUUAUUUCAAUCAUAAAAAGAAUUAGAAUACCUUCAGCUGCAAGCAGUGGCUAAAAACAGCUUAAGCAGUAAGGCUACUUAGUGACCUCGUAAAAUGAGCAGUCCAGGGGCAGGUGGUUCUGGGCACGCUUCCUGUAUCGGCUCCACUCUGUCCCGUGCACUCCAGGCUGGCCGCUCCCUGCUUCUCUUGCUUUCUCCCUCAUCUUGACACAAUAUCUCCAAGCAUCACACCUGGGGACCAACCCAACACCCCUCCCCAAACCCUCUCUCCCUGUCCACCUGUGUCAUAGGGUGAGUUGUGUCCCCGCAGAAGAUGUGUUGAAGUCCUAACCCCCAGCACCUGUGAAUGUGACCUUCUUUGGAAAUAGGGUCUUUGCAGAUGUGAUCAAGCAAAGAUGAGGUCUAGAUGGAUUAUGCUGGGACCUAACCCAGUGCCUGGAGUCCUUUGAAGAAGAGGCACGGGGAGAAGGCCAUGUGACGACAGAGGCAGAGAUGGGAGGGGUGUGUCUAGGAGCCAAGGAUUGCUGGCAACCACCAGAAGCUGGGAGAGAGGCAAGGAGGAAAUUCUCCCUCAGAGCCUCUAAAAAGGAACCCACCCCACUGACAACUCGGUUUGGGGCUGGUGGGUGGUUCUCAGGGAGCAGUGAGGGAUGUGAGCUGGGAGCCUCCCUUCUGGUGGGUCCCCCCACACACGAUGCUGGUGGGAGUCUUGGAGGCAUUGGUAAUGUUUCCAGGUAUUGCCCACCUACAGCACAGGAAUGCAUUGAUCCAACUCCCGCCUGCUGGUUUCCUUAGAGAUCUUCACAUUUCAGAAAGCGGUUAGAGUGUCAGGGUCCUUGGCCACAUUUCCCGGGCACCCCAUAUCUCAACCCCACCAUAACCAGGGCCCACUUUCUCCUUCCUUUCUGGAGUAGCUGGCUUCUGACCGUCACUGCUCUCCCUUUAUCCCCACACACCCUCUCUGGCUCCCCUUGAUCUGUGCUUGGGACCCACCGUUCAUCCCGGAUGCUCUGAACAUGGCCUUCUUUCCCCAGCCGUCAUUCAUUCAGUCAGACCGUCUCUGAGUGAUUGGCUUAGCAUUUCACAGCCGGCUUUUGAAAAGAAAUCAUAACUGGCAUAUCAAGGGUUGAUGUGGUUUGGAGAAAUUAAGAUUUUUUUUUUCAUGAGCAAGUAAACUGAGAAUUAAAUUAGGUCUAAAAUUUAUUUGCGCCUUCUGACAACUUGUUUGCAGGAAGUAAUUGCCCGGGUGCUGGCAACUUGAAUAAUCAAAGAGAGGCUUAGGAAAAACUGGGCAUUGCAAAAGAAAGAAGGAAAUAAUAAAUUCAAAUUAAGAGUUUAUUCUCCCAAAUAUUUAUCUAUAAGGAUUUUCAAACACACGGCAAAGCUGAAAGGCUUUCUCCAGUGACCACCUGUGUGCGCCCCGAGAGUCUGUGUGGACACGUGACUGUGCUUGCUUUAUCAUCCCCCUGUCCUCUUUCCAUCCUUCUCUCCAGCUGAGAAUUGAUGUUUUAAUUAGAUGAUUACAUAUUGCUCCUGGGGACUCUCUCUGGGAAAGCGCAGAGCAGACUGUCAGCACUCACUUUCCGUGUCCGUCAGCCCAGGAUGGAAGCCCUUCAGAUCAGACUCCCUGUGAUACUGUGAUUUGUAAAAAGAAACAUGUAUUUAGUCUUCGUCCUGUCUCUGGCACAGAGCUCCUAAAACCCUUGGGGUUUCCCAAGUGAUAAGAGCUAUAAAGCUGUCUUGAUAUUCACGACAAAGCCCUUUCACCCACACCUGAGUUUACAUUUAUGCCGUGACUUUUGGAAAGCACCAUGGAGGGGGCUGGCUGCCAGGGGAACCAGCCAUGUGAUUGGAGGGUUGGCACUUUCUGUCCCACCCCCAGACUUGUGGGGAGGGGAGAAGGGCUGGGGGCUGAACCCAUCACCAGUGGCCA
ensembl:lncRNA